rnacentral:rRNA from 1 species
UACGGAGGGUGCAAGCGUUAUCCGGAAUUACUGGGUUUAAAGGGUGCGUAGGCGGUUUAGUAAGUCAGAAGUGAAAAGUCAGAGCUUAACUUUGGCCUUGCUUUUGAUACUGCUAGACUUGAAUUAGGCUGAGGUUAGCGGAAUGUGACAUGUAGCGGUGAAAUGCAUAGAUAUGUCAUAGAACACCAAUUGCGAAGGCAGCUAGCUAGACCUUAAUUGACGCUGAGGCACGAAAGCGUGGGGAGCGAACAGG